CAGUAGCCGCGGGAAUACAGAGGGUGCGAGCGUUAAUCGGAUUUACUGGGCGUAAAGCGUGCGUAGGCGGCUUUUUAAGUCGGAUGUGAAAUCCCUGAGCUUAACUUAGGAAUUGCAUUCGAUACUGGGAAGCUAGAGUAUGGGAGAGGGGGGUAGAAUUCCACGUGUAGCAGUGAAAUGCGUAGAGAUGUGGAGGAAUACCGAUGGCGAAGGCAGCCCCCUGGGCCAAUACUGACGCUCAUGCACGAAAGCGUGGGGAGCAAACAGGAUUAGAUACCCGCGUAGUCCCUGUCUCUUAUAC
rnacentral:rRNA from 1 species